rnacentral:rRNA from 1 species
UGGGGAAUAUUGGACAAUGGGCGAAAGCCUGAUCCAGCGACGCCGCGUGGGUGAAGAAGGCCUGCGGGUUGUAAAGCCCUUUCGGUAGGGACGAAAGCCUCCGACCUAACACGUCGGGGGGUUGACUUAACCUACAGAAGAAGCACCGGCUAACUCUGUGCCAGCAGCCGCGGUAAUACAGAGGGUGCGAGCGUUAAUCGGAAUUACUGGGCGUAAAGCGCACGUAGGCGGCUUGGUAUGUCGGGUGUGAAAUCCCCGGGCUCAACCUGGGAACUGCAUCCGAAACUGCCUUGCUCGAGUAUGGGAGAGGGAAGCGGAAUUUCCGGUGUAGCGGUGAAAUGCGUAGAUAUCGGAAGGAACAUCAGUGGCGAAGGCGGCUUCCUGGACCAAUACUGACGCUCAGGUGCGAAAGCGUGGGGAGCAAACAGGAUUAGAUACCCUGGUAGUCCACGCCCUAAACGAUGAGAACUGGAUGUCGGGAGGGUUUGCCUUCCGGUGUCGUAGCUAACGCGUUAAG